GACGAAGGAUGCAAGCGUUAUCCGGAUUCAUUGGGUUUAAAGGGUGCGUAGGCGGACCUGUAAGUCAGUGGUGAAAUCUCUUCGCUUAACGAAGAAACUGCCAUUGAUACUGCAAGUCUAGAGUAUAGAUGACGUUGGCGGAAUAUGACAUGUAGUGGUGAAAUACUUAGAUAUGUCAUAGAACACCGAUUGCGAAGGCAGCUAACGAAACUAUAACUGACGCUGAGGCACGAAAAGUGCGGGGAUCAAACAGG
rnacentral:rRNA from 1 species